AUAUAUGAUCUGCUUUCAAAGGUUGUUUGAUUGUUUUACUUGUCACUGUAAAUAGAACCAUUUCACUCAUUGUAAAAUGUGCAUGAAAUAGUAUAAACGGAUUUUUUUUUCAUGAUUUAAUGUUGUUUGAUAAAAUAUAAUUUGUUGUCUCGCCUUAACGGAGUCAAAAAAGUUUCCGGCGACGGCGUCAGCAAUGUAUUAGUUUGUGAUUAGGCCUAGUUUGUGGUGAACCACAAGUGAUAGGUCAAUCAUAUUUGGUAUGGAGUUGUAUAAGCAUUGG
rnacentral:lncRNA from 1 species